rnacentral:rRNA from 1 species
CCUACGGGUGGCAGCAGUGGGGGAUAUUGCACAAUGGGGGGAACCCUGAUGCAGCGACGCCGCGUGGGUGAAGGAGCGUUUAGGCGCGUUAAGCCCUAUCGGCAGGGAAGAAGGAGGACGGUACCUGACUAAGAAGCCCCGGCUAACUACGUGACAGCAGCCGCGGUAAUACGCAGGGGGCAAGCGUUAUCCGGAUUUACUGGGUGUAAAGGGAGCGUAGACGGCGAUGCAAGUCUGAAGUGAAAGGCGGGGGCCCAACCCCCGGACUGCUUUGGAAACUGUAUGGCUGGAGUGCAGGAGAGGUAAGUGGAAUGCGUGGUGUAGCGGUGAAAUGCGUAGAUAUUAGGAGGAACACCAGUGGCGAAGGCGGCUUACUGGACUGUAACUGACGUUGAGGCUCGAAAGCGUGGGGAGCAAACAGGAUUAGAUACCCCGGUAGUC